AAGAUAGUUCAAUUCCCGAGGGACGUUGCCAAGAACCCUCGUUCCUCAACCAAAGACUCACGUCUGAGGAAUGUGAUGCGUGGUAUACCUUUUUAUUUGGACCCCUCACAACCCAAACAGAAGGGUGGUCUAGUACCCAGAGCAUAAGGGCUCUCAGCAGUGACCUUGAACCAAGAACACACAAAAGCUGAGAAGUCAGCUGACUUCAGAAGGGUACAGGACCCAGCUUCAUGCCUCGAAGAAGCUGCAGCGGUGAUCACAAAUGCUUCCUCCAUGACUUAAACAAAAAUAAAAAAAUAAAAAAACCUCGCUCCCACCACCCUUCCUGCAGACUUUUGGCUUCAAUAGACGGGGUUAUCCGGGUGCCCCCGUGAGGUCUCAGCAUUCAACGCUCAGGAUCACAGAGAUGAGAGCUGUCCUCUCGUCUGCGGACGUCCUAGGAGAAAGAGAAGGGAACGGGCCGUAUCGGUCACGAAUAGACUGGCCCAAGGGCUUCAUAAACAUCAUUGCAUCUUUUUUUAAAAAGAUUUUAUUUAUUUAUUCAUAGACACAGAGAGAGAGAGAGAGAGAGAGAGAGGCAGAAGGAGAAGCAGG
rnacentral:lncRNA from 12 species